UCGGAAGGUUGUGAGUUCGAAUCCCUGGUCUACCAAUUUCCCACUUCUGGACCCUUGAGCAAGCCCUUUAAACCUCAGUUGAGUGGAAAUGUAAUCGAUCGGCAUAAUUUCCGAGUUUGCCACACACCCAACACCAAGUCCUUCCUGACGAAGUCUUCAAAUGAUCGAUGAUGAAGAAAGCAGACCGACACAACAGUAGCUCAACGAUAGUAAGACAGUCUCCAGGCAGCUCCAUCCACAGCAAUCCCAUGUGUCAUGGACUGUCCAUGCAGAUCUAUCCCCAACAGAGUGCACAUCAGGCGACUCAAACCAUUGUCGUCAGGAUUGAUAAAAUAUCACCAUUUCACUGUGUAACAUGACAGAAAUCUCCGAUUAUCAGUGUAAAUGAAACAGAGUGACCUUGACUCUAGAAGCUGACUAAAUUCCAGGACAUAACCGUCAUGUUUAGGAGCCGUUGUGCAUGUGUACAUCUAACACAAGUUGAAUGUCAGGUAAAGGACUGAAAACAAACAAUUUCCUACGUGCAAUGUUUCGUGCAAAGAGUCGUCCCGGUGCAAACCUCAGCCCCAAUUAAAUCUAACGAGAAAAUAAACAGAGGCUUCUGCAUUGGUAUUUGAAUGCAUUAAGUAUCCGGAAAGCUCUCGCUCGAUGCUCAGGAGGACCUAAUCACACACU